rnacentral:rRNA from 1 species
AACUCAAAUGAAUUGACGGGGGCCCGCACAAGCGGUGGAGCAUGUGGUUUAAUUCGAUGCAACGCGAAGAACCUUACCUGGUCUUGACAUCCACAGAACCCUGUAGAGAUACGGGGGUGCCUUCGGGAACUGUGAGACAGGUGCUGCAUGGCUGUCGUCAGCUCGUGUUGUGAAAUGUUGGGUUAAGUCCCGCAACGAGCGCAACCCUUAUCCU